AUUGAACGCUGGCGGCAUGCCUAACACAUGCAAGUCGAACGGCAGCACGGCAGUAGCAAUACUGUGGGUGGCGAGUGGCGGACGGGUGAGGAAUACGUCGGAAUCUGCCCAAUCGUGGGGGAUAACUAACCGAAAGGUUAGCUAAUACCGCAUACGACCGAGAGGUGAAAGCGGGGGACCGCAAGGCCUCGCGCGAUUGGAUGAGCCGACGUCGGAUUAGCUUGUUGGUGGGGUAAAGGCCUACCAAGGCAACGAUCCGUAGCUGGUCUGAGAGGAUGAUCAGCCACACUGGAACUGAGACACGGUCCAGACUCCUACGGGAGGCAGCAGUGGGGAAUUUUGGACAAUGGGCGCAAGCCUGAUCCAGCAAUGCCGCGUGCAGGAUGAAGGCC
rnacentral:rRNA from 1 species